AUUGAACGCUGGCGGCAGGCCUAACACAUGCAAGUCGAACGAGUGGCGGACGGGUGAGUAAUGUCUGGGAAACUGCCCGAUGGAGGGGGAUAAAUACUGGAAACGGUAGCUAAUACCGCAUACUAUCGGAUGUGCCCCGAUGGGAUUAGCUAGUAGGUGGGGUAAUGGCUCACCUAGGCGACGAUCCCUAGCUGGUCUGAGAGGAUGACCAGCCACACGUGAACGGAGACACGGUCCAGACUACUACGAGAGGCAGCAGGGGGGAAUAUUGCACAAUGGGCGCAAGCCUAAUGCAGCCAUGCCGCGUGUAGGAAGAAGGCCUUCGGGUUGUAAAGUACUUUCAGCGGAGAAGCGUUACCCGCAGAAGAAGCACCGGCUAACUCCGUGCCAGCAGCCGCGGUAAUAC
rnacentral:rRNA from 1 species